GGUAAAUAGGUGAAUGGGUAUUUAAAAAUAUCAGCGACAUCCUGACCUUUCACAUGCUUUCUCUAUCUUCAAUACCUUUAAUGAGCAAAAUAGUAGCACUUUCUCAUCUUUAUUAGGCAUUUGGUAAUUUCCAAUGAGUAUUUAUGUUUAUUUUACCAUUUGAGCCUCAGGAAAGCUUCAUUAAAGAGAAAAACAUCCUAGGAAGAUGCUGGGGUCCAGGUAGAGAAAAUGACCUUCAACAGACCUAAGAGUGGCCAGGAACAGACCUGAAGCCAGUGGAGCAAUAUCUUGUUGUAUGUUUAUACGAGGUUCUGUGCAACUUCUCUUCUGAAUUGUGCUUCAGCCUUACUACUGUCUCCCUUAUUUCCUGUAAAUCUUCACAUCCUGAUUGUUCAUCCGGCAUGGAGUCCUCCUGCCUUUCCUGUCCAUUCCUUCCCAUGAGUGUUCUGCUAACCACUGUCUUUUUCACAGUAGGUGACUGUAGACCCUGACAAUAUUCUCAGACUUCGGAUCCCUGUUUUUCUCACCAGCCUCUGAUCCCAGGCACUCUCUUUCCUGGGGACUACCCUCUUUCUAUCCCUGGACUUGCACUAAGAAGACUUUCAAGGUGUUGAGGAUUUCCCCUCAAGAUCAGUAUUUCAUUUUAACUCUAAGCACAGGUAUUGAAUGCACAAGCUCUACCAUUUCUAUUGCUUUCUUAAAAGACCUCAAGUGCAAUUCCAUUAGUUAUCAUCCUUGGCAGUGAAAUUUAUCAUUGACUCAUGUAUUACUCUCUUUUAACAUUUUAAAGUUAAGUUUAAUGAAUAUGAAAUAAUGUGAUGAACAUCCAUGAAUCCACAAAUCAAACCUGGUGUUGACAGUAAGUGUGUGGAGUCCUUUUCUAUCUUUUUCAUAUAUAAGCCUCAAAUAACCAUUACUCCAAAUUCUCUAUCAUUCCUUUCUCUUUAUCACAUAAUAUCCAACUAUUUUCUAAAGAAAUUAAAGCUGUUGCACAUCCACCAGUAACACAGAAAGGAUCCUGUGGAUUUGAAAAUUUCCAACAUCUGAUGUUGUUUGGAUUUUUGACUUUUGCUAAUUAAAUGAGUAUAAAAUAGUAGCAUACUGUGCUCUUAAUCUGCAUUUUCUUCAUCAUUAAUCUGGUUGAAUAUCCUUCUGCAGUUUGUAAAUUGCAUGCUUUGUGUUUUCAGACAACCCUCUUUGAUUGUCCUCAUUUCUAUUGGGUGUUAUGUUUUUCUUAUUAACUUGUACAAGUUACUUAUAUUUUCUUUAGUGAACAUAUGAGACAUCUUGUGUCUCAGCUUGAAUUGAUCUAUGUGAGUAAAUAUGGAGUAGUGUGGCCAAUGCUAGUUUUGGAGACAGGCUGACUUAAACAAUCCCACGGUUGGCAGUUAUCCAAGGAGUGGCACAUGGCCAUUGAGCAUCUCU
rnacentral:lncRNA from 1 species